rnacentral:lncRNA from 1 species
GAAAAAAAACAAGUGAGGAUGAGGACACACUCUCUCAUUUGAAAAAUCACGCUAGUAUUGUACUUCUGACUACAAAAGUUGACUGACAAAGUGACCACUGCAGCAGAGCAGAGAUGUUGAAUAUCUCACUGAGUAUGUUUUCCUUUUGCAGCUGAUGAGGAACACCAGCAAAAUGUGGCGGCGGCAGCAGCAGUGGCCAGACCUCGGCCCCAAACUGAGGAACGAGGGGAUGGGAUGCCCAGGCGACGAAGGAACAUGGGAAAUCGGAUGAUGGCCCAGAGGAGAGCACAGCAGGCGGAAGACUGGGCCGAAGAGGAAGAUGAUGGUGAAGAGGUGCCAGAAUUUCAGGUGUCUGGGAAAAUCGGAGCAAAGAAACAGAGGAAAUUAGAAGAGAAACAAGCCAGAAAAGCGCAGAGAGAGGCUGAAGAAGCAGAGCGAGAAGAACGGAAAAAACUUGAGUCAAAGAGAGAGGAGGAAAGGCGGAAAGAAGAGGAGAGAAUACGUCUUGAAGAAGAACGACAGGUGGGAUUGGUUGUAACUUGUAGAUGGAAAUUUUGAACCAAAUUUGACUUUGUAACAUUACUUUUC